GGUGGCUCAAUGGUAGAGUGCUUGCCUUGCAUGCAGGAGGCACUGGGUUCGAUUCCUCAGCACCA
rnacentral:tRNA from 1 species